CAUGUACUUCCUUUGUCCGGAAUUACUUGUCGCAAAAAUGGAUGUACCAAGAACUAAAAUACAUCUAGAUACAUCUAUUUCUCCGACAAGUAAUUCCGGACGGAGGGAGUACUAA
rfam:Triticum urartu cultivar G1812 contig626907, whole genome shotgun sequence.